GUUUGAUCCUGGCUCAGAUUGAACGCUGGCGGCAGGCCUAACACAUGCAAGUCGAGCGGUAGAGAGAAGCUUGCUUCUCUUGAGAGCGGCGGACGGGUGAGUAAUGCCUAGGAAUCUGCCUGGUAGUGGGGGAUAACGUUCGGAAACGGACGCUAAUACCGCAUACGUCCUACGGGAGAAAGCAAGGGACCUUCGGGCCUUGCGCUAUCAGAUGAGCCUAGGUCGGAUUAGCUAGUUGGUGAGGUAAUGGCUCACCAAGGCGACGAUCCGUAACUGGUCUGAGAGGAUGAUCAGUCACACUGGAACUGAGACACGGUCCAGACUCCUACGGGAGGCAGCAGUGGGGAAUAUUGGACAAUGGGCGAAAGCCUGAUCCAGCCAUGCCGCGUGUGUGAAGAAGGUCUUCGGAUUGUAAAGCACUUUAAGUUGGGAGGAAGGGUUGUAGAUUAAUACUCUGCAAUUUUGACGUUACCGACAGAAUAAGCACCGGCUAACUCUGUGCCAGCAGCCGCGGUAAUACAGAGGGUGCAAGCGUUAAUCGGAAUUACUGGGCGUAAAGCGCGCGUAGGUGGUUUGUUAAGUUGGAUGUGAAAUCCCCGGGCUCAACCUGGGAACUGCAUUCAAAACUGACUGACUAGGGUAUGGUAGAGGGUGGGUGGAAUUUCCUGUGUAGCGGUGAAAUGCGUAGAUAUAGGAAGGAACACCAGUGGCGAAGGCGACCACCUGGACUAAUACUGACACUGAGGUGCGAAAGCGUGGGGAGCAAACAGGAUUACAUACCCUGGUAGUCCACGCCGUGACGAUGUCAACUAGCCGUUGGAAGCCUUGAGCUUUUAGUGCGCAGCUAACGCAUUAAGUUGACCGCCUGGCGAGUACGGCGCAGGUUAAUACUCAUAUGAAUGACUGGCGGCGCGCACAGCGGUGGAUGCAUGUGGUUUUAAUCAAUCAACGCGAGGAGCUUACCAGUCUGACAUCAAUGAACUGUCUAGAAAUAAAUAGUGCGUCGGGACAUGAACGGGCCUGUGUGCUGUUCGCCCCUCCUGGUCUAGGAUGAUAGAUUAAUGUCUAAACGUAACUGCCUAUGUACAACUUAAUGGCUCAGGAUGGGUAUAACU
rnacentral:rRNA from 1 species